UACGUAGGGGGCAAGCGUUGUCCGGAAUCAUUGGCGUAAAGCGCGCGUAGGCGGCCCGGUAAGUCCGCUCUGAAAGUCCAGGGCUCAACCCUGGAAAGCGGGUGGAUACUGCCGGGCUAGAAUCCGGAAGAGGCGAGUGGAAUUCCUGGGUGUAGCGGGUGGAAUGCGCAGAUAAUCAGGAGGAACACCAAUAGCGAAGGCAGACUCCGCUGGGACGGU
rnacentral:rRNA from 1 species